GGACAGAUGGCCGAGAUGGUUAUGGCGCCAGGUUAAGGUUAUACCUUAAUACAUGUGAUUUAUUCAUAUAGUUUCCUGGUCACGAAAGUGGCGUGGGUUCGAGUCCCACUCUGUUCA
rfam:Pseudogymnoascus pannorum VKM F-4513 (FW-928) contig_1018, whole genome shotgun sequence.